CCUACGGGUGGCUGCAGUGGGGAAUAUUGCACAAUGGGCGAAAGCCUGAUGCAGCAACGCCGCGUGGAGGAUGAAUGCCUUCGGGUUGUAAACUCUUGUCUUCUGGGACGAUAAUGACGGUACCAGAGGAGGAAGCCACGGCUAACUACGUGCCAGCAGCCGCGGUAAUACGUAGGUGGCGAGCGUUGUCCGGAUUUACUGGGCGUAAAGGGCUCGUAGGCGGUAACUCAAGUCGGUUGUGAAAACCGACGGCUUAACCGGAGGAUUGCAGUUGAUACUGGGUUACUUGAGGCAAGGAGAGGAAGGUGGAAUUCCCGGUGUAGCGGUGAUAUGCGUAGAUAUCGGGAGGAACCCCAGUGGCGAAGGCGGCCUUCUGGUCUUGACCUGACGCUGAGGAGCGAAAGCCAGGGUAGCGAACGGGAUUAGAUACCCGGGUAGUC
rnacentral:rRNA from 1 species